AAUGACUCACGGCAUUGACACCUUCAUGACAUGCUCAUGACACCAUUCUAGAUGGUGUCACAAAGGAACUAGGUAGAUGAGGGACGUUCUCAGGGAUCUUUCAGUAGUUCAUAUGACUUUACCAUAAUUAAUUCUUUAAUUCACUAUUUUUGAACACCUAUUUCUUAUCACUAGAAUAAGGAAGUGCAACAAAAGCCUUCUAUAAAUAUGUCAUCUUAUAUUUGAUCAUUACCUAACGAUAGAGUCCUUGAAACAAGGCAUAAGCAGUAUCAGCACAACAGCAGCAUCAUGAGCUCAUCUCUUUAUUUUCAGCAGAAUCCAGGAGGCACCACUGAUCGCGAGAACCUUCCCUAGUCUACCACAUGUGCCUGAGCGCCAUCACUGUACGUGAACACUCA
rnacentral:lncRNA from 1 species